GACGAACGCUGGCGGCAUGCUUAACACAUGCAAGUCGAACGGAAAGGCCCUGCUUUUGUGGGGUGCUCGAGUGGCGAACGGGUGAGUAACACGUGAGUAACCUGCCCUUGACUUUGGGAUAACUUCAGGAAACUGGGGCUAAUACCGGAUAGGAGCUCCUGCUGCAUGGUGGGGGUUGGAAAGUUUCGGCGGUUGGGGAUGGACUCGCGGCUUAUCAGCUUGUUGGUGGGGUAGUGGCUUACCAAGGCUUUGACGGGUAGCCGGCCUGAGAGGUUGACCGGCCACAUUGGGACUGAGAUACGGCCCAGACUCCUACGGGAGGCAGCAGUGGGGAAUAUUGCACAAUGGGCGGAAGCCUGAUGCAGCAACGCCGCGUGCGGGAUGACGGCCUUCGGGUUGUAAACCGCUUUCGCCUGUGACGAGGCGUGAGUGACGGUAAUGGGUAAAGAAGCACCGGCUAACUACGUG
rnacentral:rRNA from 1 species